AGAUUGAACGCUGGCGGCAGGCCUAACACAUGCAAGUCGAGCGGCAGCACGGGUACUUGUACCUGGUGGCGAGCGGCGGACGGGUGAGUAAUGCCUAGGAAUCUGCCUGGUAGUGGGGGAUAACGCUCGGAAACGGACGCUAAUACCGCAUACGUCCUACGGGAGAAAGCAGGGGACCUUCGGGCCUUGCGCUAUCAGAUGAGCCUAGGUCGGAUUAGCUAGUUGGUGAGGUAAUGGCUCACCAAGGCGACGAUCCGUAACUGGUCUGAGAGGAUGAUCAGUCACACUGGAACUGAGACACGGUCCAGACUCCUACGGGAGGCAGCAGUGGGAAUAUUGGACAAUGGGCAAAGCCUGAUCCAGCCAUGCCGCGUGUGUGAAGAAGGUCUUCGGAUUGUAAAGCAACUUUAAGUUGGAGGAAGGCAGUUAACCUAAUACGUAUCUUGUUUGACGUUACGACAGAAUAAGCACGGCUAACUCUGU
rnacentral:rRNA from 1 species